rnacentral:rRNA from 1 species
UUAUGCGACCUGCGGAGGUCUUACCAAAAGUGAGCAAUCGCUUUUCUACCUGCUCAGUGACCCUUCUGGGUCAUUGACUGGUCAACCCUUUGUGAACCAAAAAACACUUUCGCUUCAGCAGCUGGGCUCUAACCAGUCCGUCAGCCUGCUGCUAGCACCCCUUCAUAAACCUGUUUGUCAAAACAUUGUCUGAUAACCAAAUUUUCGAAUGAAAAUCAAAACUUUCAACAACGGAUCUCUUGGUUCCCGCAUCGAUGAAGAACGCAGCGAAACGCGAUAGUUAAUGUGAAUUGCAGAAUUCAGUGAAUCAUCGAGUCUUUGAACGCACAUUGCGCCCAUUGGUAUUCCUUUGGGCAUGUCUGUUUGAGCGUCAUUACAACCCUCAGCUAACCGCUGGUUUUGAACCUGAACGGGGUAACACCUGCGCUGGUUUUAAAGUUGUAAGCUCUGCUGGCCGCUCUGCCAAACCAGAACAUAGUAAGCUCUACUUGUUUGGGUGAAGCUGGAACGGUUUUCGGCCUGAACAAAACCAUUUUUCUUUAAGGUUUGACCUCAGAUCAGACAAGGAUACCCGCUGAACUUAAGCAUAUCAAUAAGGCGGAGGAAAAGAUCCAACAGGGAUUGACUCGGUAACGGUGAGUGAAGCGGCAACAGGUCGAUUUGCAAUCUGGAGCCUUGUUACGACUUUUACUUCAAAAGAA